UUUUUCGUUCCCCCCUUCCCCCGAAAUCCCAAAAUUUGACGAGAAAUCUUUCUUUUUUUUUUCCCUCCUUUCUUUUCCCAAAAUCGGUUCCCUCCCCCAUCCCUAAAGAAAUCCUAAAAUUUCACUGGAAAUUUCUUCUCUUUUUUUCCCCAUUUUAUUUUUCCCAAACCAUUUCUCCCCUACCCCGAUUCCCUUUAUUUUUCCCCCAAUUUCCUCAAAUCAGUAGCCCUCUGCAUCUCCGUCGGUAGCCCGCUGCUGUAUCUCUGUCGACAUCUGCUGUCGAGAAAGAGAAAUGGCUGGAAGUAAUGAAAUCAACCUCAACGAGUGCAAGCUAUUGGUUUCAAUUAGAUGAGGCUAACAUAUCCAUCACCAGUGUAUAGAGGUAUCUUUGCCACGUUCCUCGCAGGUUCAAGACAGGUUUCAGGAAAGGUAGGAAAAUGGUACUGAAGCAGCACUAAAAAAGAAGGUUGCAGCAGUUUCUGCUUAAAAGGCAAAUUAUAAUGGUAUGAGGUUUUGUUUUGGAUGAAGCCAUGUUUAUGAGGAAACAGUUAGUGAUGAAGAAUGAAAUUAUGUUCUAUUGGAUGCUUUAGUUGUUAUUUAGUUUCUAUUUGAAUGUAGCUGUCUUAUAUUUUGAACAAUUAUUGGAGCUAAUGUUUGACCCUUAAUUUCUUCAUUGUCUUUUUUUUUAAUUGAUUAAUGUUAUUGUUUCGUUAAUUUAAA